UCCCCCCUUUANUGCNGCAGNAAACGCAUUAANCACUNCGCCUNGGGGAGUACCGGCCCCAAGGCUNUANCUNAAAGGAAUUGNCGGGGGGCCCGCACAAGCGGUGGAGCAUGUNGUUUAAUUCGAAGCAACGCGAAGAACCUUACCAGGUCUUGACAUCCCCUGACAACCCUAGAGAUAGGGNGUUUUUCCUUCGGGGGACAGGGUGACAGGUGGUGCAUGGUUGUCGUCAGCUCGUGUCGUGAGAUGUUGGGUUAAGUCCCGCAACGAGCGCAACCCUUGAUCUUAGUUGCCAGCAUUCAGUUGGGCACUCUAAGGUGACUGCCGGUGACAAACCGGAGGAAGGUGGGGAUGACGUCAAAUCAUCAUGCCCCUUAUGACCUGGGCUACACACGUGCUACAAUGGAUGGUACAAAGGGCUGCAAAACCGCGAGGUUAAGCGAAUCCCAUAAAACCAUUCUCAGUUCGGAUUGCAGGCUGCAACUCGCCUGCAUGAAGCCGGAAUCGCUAGUAAUCGCGGAUCAGCAUGCCGCGGUGAAUACGUUCCCGGGCCUUGUACACACCGCCCGUCACACCACGAGAGUUUGUAACACCCGAAGUCGGUGGGGUAACCUUUUGGAGCCAGC
rnacentral:rRNA from 1 species